rnacentral:lncRNA from 1 species
CACUAUAAGGUAAAUCACACAUAUUAAAUUAUGAAACUCUAACAUUCUAAAAACGAAAUUAAUAAUAAAUCAAAUAGAUUCAAUAUAUUUUCUUUCGAUCACUCAUCAACAAAUCAAAAACUUACAAUAUAUUCCAAAUUAGUAAAAAUAACAAAGAGCAAUAAUAAAUCACAUUUUAAUGGCAACAAACAUAUUCUUAAAUAUAUUGCUUUAUAAUAUUUCCAACUGAACACUAAUUGUGUUUCACAAGUACCAGGAGCAUCUUCGUAUAGUGUCCACAACUAUUCUUGGCAACGAUGCAAUCCACAAGGAAGAAUGUGGUUUAACUCAUUUCACUCUUUUUAAUUUUAUAGAAAAUCCUAUGAAUUCAUUUUCUACGCCUAAUAUUGUCAACCAUCUUUGUUGCAUAAAGAACUAAUAAUAGUUAUCAUCUUUGCUGCACAAAAAACAAUAAUGAUAGUUAUCUUAUCGAUCUUCACACCCAUUAAUUUAUGUUUUUAAAAAUAUUUUAUUCCAUCAAUUUAUAGUAGACGAAGCAAGAAUGGAUGGUGAAAGAUAAUUUGGUUAAGUAGAAAGUACAUAGAGAAUCGAAGAGAAAAGAAGUAGAUGGGUAAAACUAUUAAGGAGAAAAUAAAAUUUCACAAAGAAGAGGGAUGUGUAAUUUUAUUAAAGAAAAGAUACAAACUUCUAAAAGACAACAAGAAACAGUACAAAAAAAAAAAAGGUCAAAAACAAUAAAAAUGAAAAAGAAAAACUACCUUAUAAAAGAUAUUAUACGAAAAAAAUCAUAUAAUCCAUGUAAUUUUCUCUAUAUAUUAAGCCAAUUGCCUUAAGCACCCUAAGAGUCGAGAGACUAAUUUUGGGCUUCGUCAUUAGCCUAUAUAUAACAAGAAUUUUAGCAUUUCUAAUGGUAAUUAUUAAGGAAAAAUAAUAUGCAAAAAUUACAUCAUUUAUAAAUUAUUGGAUACUUUUUAAAAAUGAUCUGAAAUUAACAAAAAAAUAUUAUUUUUAUUAUAUAAAAAAGAAUAUUAU